UACAGAGGGUGCGAGCGUUAAUCGGAAUUACUGGGCGUAAAGGGCACGUAGGUGGAUAGAUAAGUCACGAGUGAAAGGCCUGGGCUCAACCUAGGAAGUGCUUGUGAUACUGUUUGUCUAGAGUACAGUAGAGGGGUGUGGAAUUUCCGGUGUAGCGGUGAAAUGCGUAGAUAUCGGAAGGAACAUCGGUGGCGAAGGCGACACCCUGGACUGCUACUGACACUGAGGUGCGAAAGCGUGGGUAGCGAACAGG
rnacentral:misc_RNA from 1 species